rnacentral:rRNA from 1 species
UUAAGCGACCAAGCGUACACGGUGGAUGCCCUGGCAGUCAGAGGCGAUGAAGGACGUGCUAAUCUGCGAAAAGCGCCGGUAAGGUGAUAUGAACCGUUAUAACCGGCGAUGUCCGAAUGGGGAAACCCAGUGUGACUCGUCACACUAUCAUUAACUGAAUCCAUAGGUUAAUGAGGCGAACCGGGGGAACUGAAACAUCUAAGUACCCCGAGGAAAAGAAAUCAACCGAGAUUCCCCCAGUAGCGGCGAGCGAACGGGGAGGAGCCCAGAGCCUGAAUCAGUAUGUGUGUUAGUGGAAGCGUCUGGAAAGGCGCGCGAUACAGGGUGACAGCCCCGUACACAAAAGCGCAUGUGCUGUGAGCUCGAUGAGUAGGGCGGGACACGUGGUAUCCUGUCUGAAUAUGGGGGGACCAUCCUCCAAGGCUAAAUACUCCUGACUGACCGAUAGUGAACCAGUACCGUGAGGGAAAGGCGAAAAGAACCCCGGCGAGGGGAGUGAAAAAGAACCUGAAACCGUGUACGUACAAGCAGUGGGAGCCCCACCACUAAGCCAGUGGUGAACUCCACAUACGCAUCCUUUGCGGAAGAUACGGUUAACGGAGCGAAAGCGACGUUCAACCGCAAAAGAAGCAGAGGGGGCUUAGUGGUGGGGUGACUGCGUACCUUUUGUAUAAUGGGUCAGCGACUUAUAUUCUGUAGCAAGGUUAACCGUAUAGGGGAGCCGGAGGGAAACCGAGUCUUAACCGGGCGUUAAGUUGCAGGGUAUAGACCCGAAACCCGGUGAUCUAGCCAUGGGCAGGUUGAAGGUUGGGUAACACUAACUGGAGGACCGAACCGACUAAUGUUGAAAAAUUAGCGGAUGACCUGUGGCUGGGGGUGAAAGGCCAAUCAAACCGGGAGAUAGCUGGUUCUCCCCGAAAGCUAUUUAGGUAGCGCCUCGUGAAUUCAUCUCCGGGGGUAGAGCACUGUUUCGGCCAGGGGGCCAUCCCGGCUUACCAACCCGAUGCAAACUGCGAAUACCGGAGAAUGUUAUCACGGGAGACACACGGCGGGUGCUAACGUCCGUCGUGAAGAGGGAAACAACCCAGACCGCCAGCUAAGGUCCCAAAGUCAUGGUUAAGUGGGAAACGAUGUGGGAAGGCCCAGACAGCCAGGAUGUUGGCUUAGAAGCAGCCAUCAUUUAAAGAAAGCGUAAUAGCUCACUGGUCGAGUCGGCCUGCGCGGAAGAUGUAACGGGGCUAAACCAUGCACCGAAGCUGCGGCAGCGACACUGUGUGUUGUUGGGUAGGGGAGCGUUCUGUAAGCCUGCGAAGGUGGCCUGUGAGGGUUGCUGGAGGUAUCAGAAGUGCGAAUGCUGACAUAAGUAACGAUAAUGCGGGUGAAAAACCCGCACGCCGGAAGACCAAGGGUUCCUGUCCAACGUUAAUCGGGGCAGGGUGAGUCGACCCCUAAGGCGAGGCCGAAAGGCGUAGUCGAUGGGAAACAGGUUAAUAUUCCUGUACCUGGUGUUACUGCGAAGGGGGGACGGAGAAGGCUAUGUUGGCCGGGCGACGGUUGUCCCGGUUUAAGCGUGUAGGCUGGUUUUCCAGGCAAAUCCGGAAAAUCAAGGCUGAGGCGUGACGACGAGGCACUACGGUGCUGAAGCAACAAAUGCCCUGCUUCCAGGAAAAGCCUCUAAGCCUCAGGUAACAUCAGAUCGUACCCCAAACCGACACAGGUGGUCAGGUAGAGAAUACCAAGGCGCUUGAGAGAACCCGGGUGAAGGAACUAGGCAAAAUGGUGCCGUAACUUCGGGAGAAGGCACGCUGACACGUAGGUGAAGUGAUUUACUCAUGGAGCUGAAGUCAGUCGAAGAUACCAGCUGGCUGCAACUGUUUAUUAAAAACACAGCACUGUGCAAACACGAAAGUGGACGUAUACGGUGUGACGCCUGCCCGGUGCCGGAAGGUUAAUUGAUGGGGUCAGCGCAAGCGAAGCUCCUGAUCGAAGCCCCGGUAAACGGCGGCCGUAACUAUAACGGUCCUAAGGUAGCGAAAUUCCUUGUCGGGUAAGUUCCGACCUGCACGAAUGGCGUAAUGAUGGCCAGGCUGUCUCCACCCGGGACUCAGUGAAAUUGAACUCGCUGUGAAGAUGCAGUGUACCCGCGGCAAGACGGAAAGACCCCGUGAACCUUUACUAUAGCUUGACACUGAACAUUGAGCCUUGAUGUGUAGGAUAGGUGGGAGGCUUUGAAGUGUGGACGCCAGUCUGCAUGGAGCCAACCUUGAAAUACCACCCUUUAAUGUUUGAUGUUCUAACGUGGACCCGUUACCCGGGUUGCGGACAGUGUCUGGUGGGUAGUUUGACUGGGGCGGUCUCCUCCUAAAGAGUAACGGAGGAGCACGAAGGUUGGCUAAUCCUGGUCGGACAUCAGGAGGUUAGUGCAAUGGCAUAAGCCAGCUUGACUGCGAGCGUGACGGCGCGAGCAGGUGCGAAAGCAGGUCAUAGUGAUCCGGUGGUUCUGAAUGGAAGGGCCAUCGCUCAACGGAUAAAAGGUACUCCGGGGAUAACAGGCUGAUACCGCCCAAGAGUUCAUAUCGACGGCGGUGUUUGGCACCUCGAUGUCGGCUCAUCACAUCCUGGGGCUGAAGUAGGUCCCAAGGGUAUGGCUGUUCGCCAUUUAAAGUGGUACGCGAGCUGGGUUUAGAACGUCGUGAGACAGUUCGGUCCCUAUCUGCCGUGGGCGCUGGAGAACUGAGGGGGGCUGCUCCUAGUACGAGAGGACCGGAGUGGACGCAUCACUGGUGUUCGGGUUGUCAUGCCAAUGGCACUGCCCGGUAGCUAAAUGCGGAAGAGAUAAGUGCUGAAAGCAUCUAAGCACGAAACUUGCCCCGAGAUGAGUUCUCCCUGAGACUACAAGUCUCCUGAAGGAACGUUGAAGACGACGACGUUGAUAGGCCGGGUGUGUAAGCGCAGCGAUGCGUUGAGCUAACCGGUACUAAUGAACCGUGAGGCUUAACCUU